GUGGGGAAUAUUGCACAAUGGGGGAAACCCUGAUGCAGCGACGCCGCGUGGAGGAUGACGGCCUUCGGGUUGUAAACUCCUUUUGUCAGGGACAAUGGUGAUGGUACCUGACGAAUAAGCCACGGCUAACUCUGUGCCAGCAGCCGCGGUAAGACAGAGGUGGCGAGCGUUGUUCGGAAUUACUGGGCUUAAAGGGCGCGUAGGCGGUGGUGUAAGUCUGGGGUGGAAUGCUACAGCUCAACUGUAGAGCUGCCUUGGAAACUGCAUUACUUGAGUCGGUGAGGGGAAGGCGGAAUUCCUGGUGUAGCGGUGAAAUGCGUAGAUAUCAGGAGGAAGGUCUGUGGCGAAGGCGGCCUUCUGGCACUUGACUGACGCUGAGGCGCGAAAGCGUGGGGAGCAAACAGGAUUAGAAACCCUAGUAGUCC
rnacentral:rRNA from 1 species